CACCGGUGCAAAGAGCUUCUCCGAAACGUUGAUCGGCAGCACUAUUUACCUGGACAAGCGAGUUCCACAGAGUAACUCACGGGAGCCUUGACCUGUGGAUGGUGGCGUGCCAGUGAGGAGCUGAGCUGAUCGCAGAGCGCCGCCUGUGACUUCCUGACCUGCUCCAGUGAGGAGUGGGUCGAGCGAAAGGAAAAUCGGCAGAACUGUUUCCAUACAACUGUUUCCACUAAUCCUAAAUCGCAGCCACUGGAAGACACUGACCUCCUCUGAACAUGUGUUGGUGAUUACGCCCUACUCACUCCACACCGGGCCUGUUUGCACCGCCAGAGGAAGAUGAGCCUGGAGAGUAGAAAUCUGCUGUCUACUCCGCUGUGCUGCUCACCCACUUCACCCACGGACACUAACCCAUAGUGCCAGCCAAAGAGACAUGACUGGACCAAUGCAUGUACCGGUAUAUGCCAGACAGCAUAGGGCUUCUCUGUGAGCAUGCCUGGACUGGUCGUCUCGGAACUCGGGACAAAGGAGAGCCAGGGAGCAGGUGUGAUUGGAAACAGUGACCAAUGGGAGAGCUCUCGCUCUCCCUCCCUUCUUUGCUC